CCGACGGUGAGAGACGAAGCCUAGGGGCACGAACCGGAUUAGAUACCCGGGUAGUCCUAGGUGUAAACGCUGUGGACUUGGUGUUGGGGAUUCUCCGAGGAUUCUCAGUGCCGAAGCGAAGGUGAUAAGUCCACUGCCUGGGGAGUACGGUCGCAAGGCUGAAACUUAAAGGAAUUGGCGGGGGAGCACCGCAACCUGAGGAUUGUGCGGUUUAAUUGGAUUCAACGCCGGAAAACUCACCAGUGCCGACGGACAAAUGAAAGCCAGUUUAAUGAGCUUGCUGGAUUGUUCGAGAGGUAGUGCAUGGCCGUCGUCAGUUCGUACCGUAAGGCGUUCUGUUAAGUCAGAUAACGAACGAGACCCUCAUCGCUAUUUGCUAAGGUCAGUCCGCUGAUCACAGGACUAUAGCGAGACCGCUGGCGCUAAGUCAGAGGAAGGCGAGGGCAACGGUAGGUCAGUAUGCUCCGAAUGCACUGGGCUACACGCGCAAUACAAAGGACGGGACAAUGGGCCGCUGCGCCGAGAGGCAUGUGGCUAUCUCGAAACCCGUUCGUAGUUCGGAUUGAGGGCUGUAACUCGCCCUCAUGAAGCUGGAUUAGGUAGUAAUCGCGUCUCAAAAAGGCGCGGUGAAUAUGCCCCUGCUCCUUGCACACACCGCCCGU
rnacentral:rRNA from 1 species